GCGAGCAUAGUGCAAUUGGUAGCACAAUUUUUCGGAACUAUUAAUCUAGGUUCAAGCCCUAGUGCUUGUA
rnacentral:tRNA from 2 species